UAUCGAGCCUUUCUGGUGGCUGGACCCUGAGUGUGUGAAGAGGAGAGCUGUCCUCCGAGACUGUCUCAUCUCCAACAGGACCCAGGACAAAAAUAGUUUGUCCCUAACCUGCUCAGGUCUGUACUAUAUUGUGACAUUUCUAAAAAUGUGGAUUACAUGGUUGACUAUAAUCCCAGAACUAUAUUUUUCAAACCGCACAAUAAUCUGCUGAUUAUUUCAUGACAGUUUUCUCUCCACAGACUUCCUCCCUGGUGUCAAGACGUUGGUCUCCUCAGAGGGAGUUUUUCAGUCCAGGGGGCACAGGGCUCUUGUGAGGUCCGGUGCAGACUUCAGUGUCUCCUGCUUUUUAGAUAAACCAUUCUACUCUGUUUUUUUCCACCUGCUGGCUCCAAGUGGGAAUUACACCCUGCCAUCUGUCAAUCACUCUGCACACUUCCUGUUCACAGCCUUUGGUCCUGAACACACAGGGAACUACACCUGUGGUUACAGUCUAUAUGAUUCAAGUAAAAUCCUAAAGAACGUGACCCUGUACAUCAGUCGUGGAGUGGCAGACUCAGACCUGCUCCUGAGAGCCGGGAUCCAUGUUCUCAUCCUGCUCAUCUCCACCACUGCACUGUACUUCUACUGCCAGGCCAAAACACGGAAACAACAUGGACAACGGCGAUCUGCUCAUCUCCAUCUUCAGUGAAAGGUGAAUAUACCAUCCUGAGAAGCCUGUGAAAUAAAGACGUUAUGGGGAAAGAUUUAGUUUAUGUUCCCAUUUUGUGAUAAGAGUAAAACACUGUCAGCACUGGAUAAUCACAGCAGGGCAUUUAAAGGUCCAAUAUUACACAAAAUGGACUCUUGUCAACGUUAAGUCAUGUUAUAAUGUGUUUACCUCCUCAAAAACUCCUCAAAAUGUGACUGUAAAGCCAUUUUGAAGGUUUGUGGUAAAAUAGGUGAAUUUGUUGUAAAUUAAAAUUGCAAAAUUUGGUGAAAAUAAUCAAACACAGCUCUAGAUA